GCCCUAAACCUCAGUAGUUAGAUAACAAAACUACUCGCCAGAAUACUACAAGCAACAGCUUAAAACUCAAAGGACUUGACGGUGCUUUACAUCCCCCUAGAGGAGCCUGUUCCAUAAUCGAUAAACCCCGAUCCACCCCACCCUCUCUUGCUCAGCCUAUAUACCGCCAUCUUCAGCAAACCCUAAUGAAGGCCACAAAGUGAGCGCAAACGCCACUGCCGCGAAUACGUUAGGUCAAGGUGUAGCCCAUGAGACGGUAAAAAAUGGGCUACAUUUUCUAUUUCAGAAAACCCCACGAAAACCCUUAUGAAACUUAAGGGUCCAAGGAGGAUUUAGCAGUAAAUUAAGAAUAGAGUGCUUAAUUGAACCAGGCCAUAAAGCGCGCACACACCGCCCGUCACUCCUCUCAAAUAUAUUUAAGGAAUAUCCUAACUAAACGCCCUAAUAUUUAUAUAGAGAGGAUAAGUCGUAACAUGGUAAGCGUACUGGAAGGUGCGCUUGGAUAAAU
rnacentral:rRNA from 1 species